rnacentral:rRNA from 1 species
ACGGGGGGGGUAAGCGUUGUUCGGAAUUACUGGGCGUAAAGAGUUGCGUAGGCGGCAUUGUAAGCAGGUAGUGAAAGCGUGUGGCUCAACCAUACUCGCAUUACCUGAACUGCAAAGCUAGAGGACAAGAGAGGUCACUGGAAUUCCUAGUGUAGGAGUGAAAUCCGUAGAUAUUAGGAGGAACACCGAUGGCGUAGGCAGGUGACUGGCUUGUUCCUGACGCUCAGGCACGAAAGCGUGGGUAGCAAACGGGA